rnacentral:rRNA from 1 species
UACCUAUAAGACUGGGAUAACUUCGGGAAACCGGAGCUAAUACCGGAUAAUAUUUUGAACCGCAUGGUUCAAAAGUGAAAGACGGUCUUGCUGUCACUUAUAGAUGGAUCCGCGCUGCAUUAGCUAGUUGGUAAGGUAACGGCUUACCAAGUCAACGAUGCAUAGCCGACCUGAGAGGGUGAUCGGCCACACUGAAACUGAGACACGGUCCAGACUCCUACGGGAGGCAGCAGUAGGGAAUCUUCCGCAAUGGGCGAAAGCCUGACGGAGCAACGCCGCGUGAGUGAUGAAGGUCUUCGGAUCGUAAAACUCUGUUAUUAGGGAAGAACAUAUGUGUAAGUAACUGUGCACAUCUUGACGGUACCUAAUCAGAAAGCCACGGCUAUCUACGUGCCAGCAGCCGCGGUAAUACGUAGGUGGCAAGCGUUAUCCGGAAUUAUUGGGCGUAAAGCGCGCGUAGGCGGUUUUUUAAGUCUGAUGUGAAAGCCCACGGCUCAACCGUGGAGGGUCAUUGGAAACUGGAAAACUUGAGUGCAGAAGAGGAAAGUGGAAUUACAUGUGUAGCGGUGAAAUGCGCAGAGAUAUGGAGGAACACCAGUGGCGAAGGCGACUUUCUGGUCUGUAACUGACGCUGAUGUGCGAAAGCGUGGGGAUCAAACAGGAUUAGAUACCCUGGUAGUCCACGCCGUAAACGAUGAGUGCUAAGUGUUAGGGGGUUUCCGCCCCUUAGUGCUGCAGCUAACGCAUUAAGCACUCCGCCUGGGGAGUACGACCGCAAGGUUGAACCUCAAAGGAAUUGACGGGGACCCGCACAAGCGGUGGAGCAUGUGGUUUAAUUCGAAGCAACGCGAAGAACCUUACCAAAUCUUGACAUCCUUUGACAACUCUAGAGAUAGAGCCUUCCCCUUCGGGGGACAAAGUGACAGGUGGUGCAUGGUUGUCGUCAGCUCGUGUCGUGAGAUGUUGGGUUAAGUCCCGCAACGAGCGCAACCCUUAAGCUUAGUUGCCAUCAUUAAGUUGGGCACUCUAAGUUGACUGCCGGUGACAAACCGGAGGAAGGUGGGGAUGACGUCAAAUCAUCAUGCCCCUUAUGAUUUGGGCUACACACGUGCUACAAUGGACAAUACAAAGGGCAGCGAAACCGCGAGGUCAAGCAAAUCCCAUAAAGUUUCUCUCAGUUCGGAUUGUAGUCUGCAACUCGACUACAUGAAGCUGGAAUCGCUAGUAAUCGUAGAUCAGCAUGCUACGGUGAAUACGUUCCCGGGUCUUGUACACACCGC